AUUGAACGCUGGCGGCAGGCUUAACACAUGCAAGUCGAGCGGAGAUGAGGUGCUUGCACCUUAUCUUAGCGGCGGACGGGUGAGUAAUGCUUAGGAAUCUGCCUAUUAGUGGGGGACAACAUUCCGAAAGGGAUGCUAAUACCGCAUACGUCCUACGGGAGAAAGCAGGGGAUCUUCGGACCUUGCGCUAAUAGAUGAGCCUAAGUCGGAUUAGCUAGUUGGUGGGGUACAGGCCUACCAAGGCGACGAUCUGUAGCGGGUCUGAGAGGAUGAUGCGGCACACUGGGACUGAGACACGGCCCAGACUCCUACGGGAGGCAGCAGUGGGGAAUAUUGGAAAAUGGGGGGAACCCUGAUCCAGCCAUGCCGCGUGUGUGAAGAAGGGCUUAUGGUUGUAAAGCAAUUUAAGCGAGGAGGAGGCUACUGAGACUAAUACUCUUGGAUAGUGGACGUUACUCGCAGAAUAAGCACCGGCUAACUCUGUGCCAGCCGCCGCAGUAACAC
rnacentral:rRNA from 1 species